UACGUAGGGGGCAAGCGUUGUCCGGAUUUAUUGGGCGUAAAGAGCGUGUAGGCGGCCAGACAGGUCCGUUGUGAAAACUCGAGGCUCAACCUCGAGACGCCGAUGGAAACUGUCUGGCUAGAGUCCGGAAGAGGAGAGUGGAAUUCCUGGUGUAGCGGUGAAAUGCGCAGAUAUCAGGAAGAACACCCGUGGCUAAGGCGGCUCUCUAGUACGGUACUGACGCUGAGACGCGAAAGCGUGGGGAGCGAACAGG
rnacentral:rRNA from 1 species